rnacentral:tRNA from 2 species
GGGCCUUUAGCUCAGCUGGGAGAGCGCUUCGCUGGCAGCGAAGAGGUCGGCGGUUCGAGCCCGCUAAGGUCCACCA